GUGCUCGUUACCAGGCAAUAUUAUAGGUGGCGCCGCUGUCAACAUGUGCAUGUGAAAACGAAAGUAGAUUGUUUAUCUAGGAAUUUUUACAACAUUUUACCCUUCUACAUUGAAUUUUUAAGAUAUAAUAGUAUGAAUAUAGAGAUGAUUAUUUAGUUACCUUCAACUGGUCAGUGGUCAAAAGGAGUAUUUCUGUAUGUCUUGAAGCAUUGAAUGUCCCCAAACAACCAGUGUGAUAAGAAGGUAUACUAUCUAGGUUGAAAACAGCCAUGGACAAUGAAUUUGGAGGUGCAUGCUGGAGCAUCAGAAAUUACAUACUUUGAAUAAAUAAUUGCACAAUACACAUUUACUGAGAAGUGACUAAUGUUUUUGUUAAAGUGCAAUAUCCAUGUUUGUAACAUUUACAUGGGGGUAAUAGUUACAGUGUUGAAAGAGACUACCAGUGUUACAUUUCAAUCUAAGUUACAGUGUGGAUGCUAAUUCUAAAUUCUUGAUAAUCAAGUGUUUUUAAUAACUUAUGAAUACUAAUUAUUUAUCAAACUGUUUAAUUUAUCAGAUUCCUACAUCAUUAUUUUAUAUAAAAUGCUUGUAGUUAUAUAAUAUAUGUCAGGUUAGAUGGUAAUAAAUUUUGUUUCUUUGUAAA